rnacentral:rRNA from 1 species
CAAGCUAAUCUUUUCCAAGAGCUCACAUCGAAGGAAAGGUUUGGCACCUUGAUGUCGGCUCUUCUCCACCUUGGGCUGUAGUGUGUUCCAAGUAUUGCUUCUUUUUCGAGAGGAUUUGUGGCAUAUCAAGUCUUAGUAAGGUU